UCCCAGUUGUAGCAAUUACGACCAAGAUCAAUCUUGAGGCAAGAUCCAAAAGAGACUCUCUUGAAAACAAAAUACACUAUCGAUCAACAUACGCUAGCAAUCAACCUCAACAGGAUAAGUUUGAAAAGAACUAGUUCUAAUUUAUAUAGUCAUGAUUAGCAAUAAGCCCCAUCUGGCUGAACUCAAAAGGAAAUACUAAUUGGAUAGGUAUGGCCA
rnacentral:lncRNA from 1 species